GUGCUACCACUGGCUGGACCACAGGGUGGGCGUCCUGCAGGGCCAGUGCUGGGAGGACUUCGUGGGCCAGGAGCUGUACCGGUUCCUGGUGAUGGACUUCGUCCUCAUGUUGCUGGACACGCUUUUUGGGGAACUGGUGUGGAGGAUUAUCUCCGAGAAGAAGCUGAAGAGGAGGCGGAAGCCGGAGUUUGACAUUGCCCGGAACGUCCUGGAGCUGAUUUAUGGGCAGACUCUGACCUGGUGAGGGUCCUCUGCUCUCCUCCUGCUGUCUGGCCCCUCGGUCAGUGCCCCUUUCCCCCUGGGGGUCCUGCACCUGUCUCCCCCUGGGGCCACAGCCAGGCCCGGCCACGGACCCUGGAGUGAUGCAGGCCCUGACCCCGGGGACUCAGUUUUGGCCACUCUCACAUGCCCUGCCCGUGGUCUGGAACCAGCCUGGUCUCAGGGAGGGGAGGGCACUGGAGCAGACCCUGAACUG
rnacentral:sRNA from 1 species